GAAAACCUGCAAUUGUCACCGGAAUCUUCAUGCUCACCGGAGAAGAAGGUGGCUCCGGUGGCCUUCCAAUUUCCAGAACAAGUCACAACCGUUGGAUCAUGUGUCCAGAUCUAAUCAGGUCCAUUGGAUUUCAUGACCUUAUUUAAUUCAUUAUACUUCUCAUUGACUGAGGUUCAUGGUGCACGCGCUUGCCAAUGCCAUUGGAUCUUCCACGUCAUUUAAUGAAAAACAAUCCAACGCUCCCUGAUUUUUGUUAUUUUUCAUUUUCUG
rnacentral:lncRNA from 1 species